ensembl:lncRNA novel transcript
GAGGAGAGUGACCUGUCAGAUUACCAAAAAUAUUCCAUCUAACAGGAAGAGAGACCAGAAGCUGUGAGGUUCUUGGAAAGGAAUGGAAGGGCCCGGGAGACUCAGCCCCUGAAGUGAUGUUGGCAGUUACAUCAUAACAGAGAGAUGGGAGAUGUCUGCAGUGGCUGGAGAAGGACAAACCUGAAGACACUAGAAAGAGGAGUUGGGUCCAGAUACAGCUUCCUGAAAGAUCUCAGCAGACAAGAAGAAUGGAGCAAAUGCAGCAAUUCAGAGAACAGCAUCAAGUCCCACAUGAGCAGGAAACGCGGCCCUGAGGUGUCACGUCCUGCGUGGGCUCUUGGGUUCAAAACAGAAAGAGAUUCCUUCUCUCAUGGAACUUACAUUUUUGGACUGAGGAGAGACAGACAAUAACUGUGUUUUAUAGCAAGAGAACUAGAAUUAGAAGUGGAGCCUGAAGAUGUGAAUGAACUGCUGCAAUCUCAUGAUAAAGUUGAACAAAUGAAGAUUUGCUUCUUAUGAAUAAGCAAAGAAAGUGGUUUCUUGAGAUGGAAUCCACUCCUGGUGAAGAUGCUGUGAACAUUAUUGAAAUGACAACAAAGGAUUUAGACUAUGACUUAAACUUAGUUGAUAAAGCUGCCGCAGGGUUUAAGAGGAUUGACUCCAAUUUUGAAAGAAGUUCUACUGUGGGUAAGAUGCUAUCAAACAGCAUCGCAUGCUACAGAGAAAGCUUUUGUUAAAGAGUCAAUCGAUGCAGCAAA